AUACAUCAACGGCACUGAACAGGCUUUGGUUAUUAAGUAACAUUACCGCAGUCGCGAGAAAACGGUUUUAAAAUGCAGUAUAAUCGACAUCGUGUACGAAUGAAAGGUUUUCGGUCAUGAUUUGUAUUAUCUUAACCGGAAAACGAUUGGCCAAAACGAGAACAAAAACGGAACACUGUGGACUUUUAUUAGUUGCUCUUUCAUCAGAUUUACAUCUGAGAAGAUAGAGGACGUAAACAUAUCCUGAGUCGAUGAGAUAAUUCGUUUUUCUCCACAAAAUUCACUGACUGCUGUACCAGCUCACCUUGGAAGGAGAGAAGGGGAGAGGUACUUUAUACCUCAUGCCUCCACAAAGUAAUUUGUGAGGCGAGCCUUCCCCCUCACCAGCGCCGAUAGACCAGCAUGGAGAGAGUGUUAAGAACAGGACAAGAACCCCGAGCGGCCAAUGAGAGAGAUCAAGGGAAGACACCAUUAGCAGGGAGUGGGGAACUGGGUCCUGAAUGCUGCAAACGUAAUGGAUUGAUCAAUACCCAUAAUCUAAGGGUGGAGACUAAGGAAGGACUGGUGUCGGCUUAUUCCGCUCCACAGUAUCAGGGCCACGUGGUGUCCAAGGACAAAAACGGGACAAAGGAUGGGAAAGAGCCCCCGCAGUUGCUGAACCCCAGUGCUCUUCCCCAAGCCAUAGACCCUUAUUACAGGCCCAGCCUCAUUCUUUAUCCUGAGAGCAUGUUGAAAGCAUGGGGUGAGGGAGGGGACUGCUGCGAGACUACUUUCAUUGAAGAAAUGAACCCUGCCUCUUCUGGCUCGGCUAAAGAUGGAAUUGUGUUCGCUGACGGCAGGCUUCUGGAUCUUUCUAUGGAAGACGCCAAGAUCCAAACACUUUCCUAUGACUUGGAUGAUGACGAUGACGAAUUUCAAGAAUUUGAGAGUGAGUUCUCAAGCGAUUCAGAGAGUGAAGACAAUUUUCUCAUGAUGCCCCCGAGGGACCAUCUGGGCCUCAGCGUUUUCUCCAUGCUUUGCUGCUUCUGGCCCCUUGGCAUCGCAGCUUUCUACCUGUCACAUGAGACAAACAAGGCGGUGAAUGAAGGGGACUUUCACCACGCCAGCUCCAGCUCCAGACGCGCCCUCUUCCUCGCCGUUCUUUCCAUCACCAUCGGCACUGGCAUCUAUGUGGGCGUGGCUGUGGCCCUUAUCGCAUACCUCUCCAAAAACAAUCACUUGUAGCCUUCCCCGGGAUCACUUCAGUGUUUCCCACCUUGAGGCUUUUUUGGACUUACCAGCAAAAGUUUAUAUUCAGUCUCUUCAGAUGUCCCAACACCGAUGGAGAGAUGACCCUACCCCUUCGUGGACUCCAGAUGACAUCAGUUUUGGAUCAUCAUUCAACACUCUCACAUUUUUCCCUGUACAGUGGAAAUAUUUGUGUUUCCCAAUCCCAGUCCUCAGGGCAUGCAAGAAUGUUUCCCUAAAUAUAAAACUCCUGAUUCAAGUCAUCAUCGACUCAUGAGUUUAUUCAGGUGUUUUAUAUAGAACAUUCUGCAACGGGUGCCCAGAGAACUGGGAUUGGGAAACACUUUUCUUUGAUCAUGUUUAAGGUUGCUUCGAUUGAUCGGUCGUCGAUCAUUGUCUGCCGAUAAAUGUUUGAAAAGAAUUGAUUUGGGAUCAAGGACGAUCAGAAGAGCUGAUCAGAUGAAGCAAAAUUUGAGUGAUGAUUUUAUGCGCCGCUAAUAUUGCUUUACUAUUCACCGGUGAGGCAGUUCUAGCAGGUAUCCGACAAACAUGAGCAUUGUUCAGCGUACAUGCAGAGGAAAUCUGCAAGAGAACAAGAUGAUGAGGCGAGCGGUUCGACCAAUUACGGCGCCAAAGAAAGCUGUAAAGUAAAUCUGCCUGGUUUAUUCUAAUAAUCUUAAAAAAAAAUCUGAUUGCAAUGAAGUAAGACAAUUGGGGGGAACUCUUAAAUUAUAAAUUCUUGCAAGUAGAAAUUCUCGUUAGUAAAAAAUCUGGUUGACUAUAGCAUUAUUGCUUUCGGGUUUUGUCUCAGUUAGCGCAGUUACAUCCCUACAUAGCGUCCAUAGGGAAAUAUAAAGUUUCUCACUUGUUCGCCUCAAGAUUAGGGUCAACGACAUGAGUCAAAUUAUCCCCAAACUACAUCAUACACGACAACCAAAAUAGAAAAAGUCUUCAAGCUAUCUGUUUUCCAGCUACAUUCACAAAUAUAAAAAAGUAAGUAAUGUUUUGUCACUAAGCUGUAGUGCUGUCAGUUUGCUGAAAUUUUAAUGGAUUUUAAAGAUAUCCUUAUCGCUAUAUUGAAAAAUGACCUCAGAGCUACGAGAGCAGAAGUGGCUUAGCUGGCUGGGAUUUUAGUGCAUCAUCACCCAGCAAGCAUAAAGUCUAUUCUGAGUGUAUGUGAAAAGUGUUUGUAAAAGAUUAAUUGUAUUAUUUAAUUGUUUGAUGUAAUAUUUUAAUUUUAAACACAUUGAUAAGGAUCAGGAAAUACACUACCUGUCCAAAAAAAGUCACCACCUGGAUAUAACUCAGAAAAUAGGUAAGAGCCUCCCAUUGGAUUGGUGGUCUACGAUUAGCAUUGUUAAGCGCCCAAAGAAUGAGGUCAGCUGACUACCUGAAUAUACUGAAUGACCAGGUUAUUCCAACAAUGAGUUUUUUUCUUCUCUGAUGGCACGGGCAUAUUCUAAGAUGACAAUAUCAGGAUUCAUCGGGCUCAAAUUGUGAAAGAGUGGUUCAGGGAGCAUGAGACAUCAUAAUAGGCCACCAAGUCCACACUUUAACCCCAUUGAGAAUCUUUGGGAUGUGCUGUAGAAUACUUUGAGCAGCGGUCAGACCCUCCCAUCCAAGUGCGCCGCCAGGAAUUUUGGGCCCCAUGACAAAAAAUCUAAUUCGGCCCCCUCUAUGCAGCUGCUGUCACCACAUCUCUAGAACCUAACUGUACCAUCAAAAGCUUUACAUAACUAUAAUUAAAGGCUUGCAACUGUCCUGCUUCUUCUAGUUCAAUACUAGUACUAGCACAAUAUUUUCUGCUGGUGAUUUGUACAUGCAUGCAAGUCUAGUAUGAAGUUCACUAUUUGAUGCAAGAUUAAAAGCAACCACAAAAAAUGUGCU